rnacentral:rRNA from 1 species
UACGGAGGGUCCGAGCGUUAUCCGGAAUCAUUGGGUUUAAAGGGUGCGCAGGCGGUAAAGUAAGUCAGUGGUGAAAGCCCAUCGCUCAACGGUGGAACGGCCAUUGAUACUGUUAAACUUGAAUUAUUAGGAAGUAACUAGAAUAUGUAGUGUAGCGGUGAAAUGCUUAGAGAUUACAUGGAAUACCAAUUGCGAAGGCAGGUUACUACUAAUGGAUUGACGCUGAUGGACGAAAGCGUGGGUAGCGAACAGG